UACGAAGGGUGCAAACGUUGCUCGGAAUUAUUGGGCGUAAAGCGCACGUAGGCGGCUCUAUAAGUUGGAUGUGAAAUCCCUCGGCUCAACCAAGGAAGUGCAUCCAAAACUGCAGAGCUUGAGUACUUAAGAGGAUCGCGGAAUUCCCGGUGUAGAGGUGAAAUUCGUAGAUAUCGGGAGGAACACCAGUGGCGAAGGCGGCGAUCUGGGAAGAUACUGACGCUGAGGUGCGAAAGCGUGGGGAGCAAACAGG
rnacentral:rRNA from 1 species